ACGCUCGACACCUACGGGAGGCNGCAGUGGGGAAUAUUGCACAAUGGGGGAAACCCUGAUGCAGCAACGCCGCGUGAGUGAAGAAGUAUUUCGGUAUGUAAAGCUCUAUCAGCAGGGAAGAUAAUGACGGUACCUGACUAAGAAGCUCCGGCUAAAUACGUGCCAACAGCCGCGGUAAUCUGAGCGGGCUGGCAAGGC
rnacentral:rRNA from 1 species